UACGUAGGGUGCAAGCGUUAAUCGGAAUUACUGGGCGUAAAGGGCGCGUAGGCGGCCUGUUAAGUCGAACGUGAAAUCCCCGGGCUCAACCCGGGAACUGCGUCCGAUACUGGCAGGCUUGAAUCCGGGAGAGGGAUGCGGAAUUCCAGGUGUAGCGGUGAAAUGCGUAGAUAUCUGGAGGAACACCGGUGGCGAAGGCGGCAUCCUGGACCGGCAUUGACGCUGAGGCGCAAAAGCCAGGGGAGCAAACGGG
rnacentral:rRNA from 1 species